GUGAAUCAUCAAAUCUUUGAACGCAAAUUGCACUCUCUGGUAUUCCGGAGAGUAUGCCUGUUUGAGGGUCAGUUUAAAUAAAAAUCUGUAUGUUCGCUGCCUUUCUUUGUGACGCGCCGUGUUUGUGUCGUCUUUCCUUCGGUUAAGUGUCCUAAAAUUUUUCAGGAGUUUUUCGAACGUAUUUAAAUGAUGUUACUUACGUUUGCGAUAUCGAAUACUGUGUGUUUUCAUCCUCAUGAUUCACGCCUAUAAUUUUUCAUCAAUAUGACCUCAAAUCAUGUCAGAGUACCCUCUGAACUUA
rnacentral:misc_RNA from 1 species